rnacentral:lncRNA from 1 species
GUUGGAGUCAUAGAUCGCCGGCCGCCCUCCCUUCCUCUGGCUCCGUGAAUGACCCGUGGGAGGAGAUUAUCUCAGGCAUGGCGAAACACAAAUAUGGAGGAGUAGGGGGAGGGAGGGCACAUUAGAAGGAAAAAAAAAGGAGAAGAAGGCAAACCAGCUCAGAGGACAAUUUUUUUUGAAUAAAUAAAUCCAUCGAAAGAAAAUUUAAAGGUUACCAUUUAUACUAAGGAGUAACUCGAAGAUAUCCAAUAGAAUUAGAAGGCGAUCAUUGAUUAGGAGAGGUUCUAUUCUUAUUUGCAGGGACAAAGAUAGCAGGCGAGAAUCAAUUAUUUAUAUCUAAAAAUUUACAUUUUUACUUCCAAUAGUGGCAUGUAGACAUCAAUAGAUAGGCCACCCACCUUGGCCUAAUAACAAAUACUAAAAAUAGAUCAAUUUCUGCGAAUAUGUAAUGACCGUGUGGCCAUUACAUCCUUUGAUACACACCGAAACCAUCUCUACAUCAGAAGAUACUUUGUUUUGACGAAAAAUAUAAUGGAGCUAAGCAGGGUGGUCGUGCCCAUGAUGGUUAUCCUUAUAAGUACGACAAUACUUUCCCAGUGUAAAUACAUACAAACAAUCAUUUGAAUUCUGUUAAAGUUUUGGUGUUAAGAAAAAUCAUCUGAUCAGAGCAACUCCAGCCGUCCCACCCAUAUGGCGUCCGGCCUGCCACAUUUUUCGGCAAUAUGGGGGGGCUGCCAGCGCAAAGAAUAAUUUGGGGGCUGGCCUCGUCCCAGCCGGGCCCCCGAUAGUAAAUUGGGGCACCAUUUAAAAUUCAUUGAAGUUGGCGAAAUUUAUUCAAAUUAGGCAACAUUUCAUUGAAAUUUGCGAUAAUUUACAAAAAAAAAAAAUCAAAACCUAGCCCUAGCCUAGUCGUCUAGCUAGCCAGGAGGCCCCGCUGCCCAAGCUGCUGCCGGAGUAGAAGUCAAAGCCGCUGUCAUCGUCGUCGUCGAGGACGAUGACGCCCGGCUCCUGCUUCACCGGCGUCACCUUCUUCGACGCCUCUUGCGCCGCCUCGUAGUCCAGCCGCGCCUAGAAGUCAGUGUCGGAGGCCGCGUAGCCCAGGAGGCGCCGCCGCU